rnacentral:lncRNA from 1 species
CAGGAAUUUAUUUCUCACAGCUUCUGAAGUCUGGGAAGUCCAAGCUCAAGGUGAAGCCUCCUCAGGUGGCAAAGAGCAGAAGCACAAAAGAGACCAAACUCCCUCCCUCAAGCUCUUUUACAAGAACACUGAGACAUUCACAAGUGCUGAGUCCUCAAACCUACUAACCUCCUGAAGGCUACACCUCAAAUACGGAUUGAAUUUUCGCAUGAGUUUUGAGGGACACCCAUUCAAAGCAUAGCACCCUUCGGCUUCAGAGAAGCUCCAGCCCUGUUGUCACCAAGCAGGUUCCCCCUAGGCAGAGCGCCAAGAAGCAGCCCAGGCGAUCCCAAGGCGCACAAGUGCUCUCACCAGGCUGCGCGCUGGCGGGUCGGUGCACAGGGACGGGGUCGCCGCCCACGCGCGCUUGGUUCAGGGAGCCCAGGCUGUCCCUACCCGCGGCUACAAAAGCUCGCCGAGUCUUCCUGUCCACCCAAUCGCCCCACAUGUCAGCGGUUGGUCGCCUCGCGGUGCAGUGCUGGGCACGCGAGCCCCUCCCGCAGUCAUUCUCAGCACAAGCACCAGCCUGGAGCCCCGCAGCGACAGAGCUGAGAGCCCCCAAGCCGCAGAGGUCGUGCGGAGCAGGCCUAAGGCAAUAGCUAAUUGAGACUAUGCAUCACUAUUAAGGCAUCUUCACUAAAGGGCGCUGUGGAAACGCUGCCUGAGAUGCAGACACCUGUCAGAAGGGGGCUAAAUUUCAAACAAGGAACGUGGUGUUGCAUCACAAUAAAGUAAGUGUCCAGAGGGAACUUCUGCAGUACUGUGUUUUCCAACGUGCUGAGUGAUAUUGUAGGAGACUAUUCUUUUGCUGGAAUUUCUAUGAAUACAUCUAUGAAUACAUUUAAAUAAAAGUGUUUUUGUUUUUUUUUUGAGAUGGAGUUUCACUCUUAUUGCCCAGGCUGGAGUGCAAUGGCGCUAUCUUGGCUCAUGCAACCUCUGCCUCCUGGGUUCAUGCUAUUCUACCUCAGCCUCCUGAGUAGCUGGGAUUACAGGCAUGAGCCACCACGCCCAGAUAAUUUUUUGUACUUUUAGUAGAGAUGGGGUUUCUCCAUGUUGGUUAGGCUCGUCUCGAACUCCUGACUUCAGGUGAUCCGCCCGCCUUGGCCUCCCAAAGUGCUGGGAUUACGGGUGUGAGCUACU